AUUUGUCAAAUGAUAUAUGUGUGUAUGUACAAGAGGUACACGACUGUCGGCAUUAGUACAAUCUCAGAUCAGAAACUUUUCACAACUUGACAUAGAUUGAAUUAUUUGUUAUAUUUGUACGUACAUUUGUUUGUUCGAUUAAUUAAUAAAUAAUAAAUUGGUUAUUGACAGUAGUGUCGGGCUGAAGCAUAAAAAACACAAUUAUUACGCAGGAAGAAUGGAAACGUAACGUGAUGGCAUGACGUGAUAAUUUACACACCACGCGUCUCAAUUUUCUAAUCUUGUGAUUGUACCAAAUAUGCACUGAUCAGCCAAAAUAUUGAAUGGAAUUCCCGAUGUGUUUCACCUACUCUCCAACUCUUCGAUUUUUCCGGCGUGACUCGACGGCUAGCUGGUUGGUUGGUCCGCCCGGUCCACUACCAUUGGAACUUGGUGCUGAGAAAUUGUCUGGAUCUUCUUGAAGGGACCUGAAUAUAAAGGAGUAGUUUUAUAUAUUUUUUAAGGAAUUUAUAUGAAUGUUCGAAGGGGUAAACAUUUCCCGCCAACUUGGAUAAUAAGCAUUAUCGAUGCAGAUUUAAUUUAGCCUUAAA